GCGGCGUGCCUAACACAUGCAAGUCGAACGGCUCUUCGGAGCAGUGGCGCACGGGUGAGUAACACGUAGCUAACCUGCCCCCGAUCCCGGGAUAACGUCUCGAAAGAGACGCUAAAACCGGAUAAGCUCACGGACUGUAGAGGUCUGAGAGAAAAUCUACGGAGAUCGAGGAGGGGGCUGCGGCCCAUCAGCUAGUUGGUGCGGUAACGGCGUACCAAGGCGACGACGGGUAGGGGGCCUGAGAGGGUGGUCCCCCACACUGGAACUGACACACGGUCCAGACUCCUACGGGAGGCAGCAGUGAGGAAUAUUGCGCAAUGGGCGAAAGCCUGACGCAGCAACGCCGCGUGGGUGAAGAAGGUCUUCGGAUCGUAAAACCCUUUUCUGUGUGACGAUAAUGACGGUAGCACAGGAAUAAGUCUCGGCUAACUACGUGCCAGCAGCCGCGGUAAAACGUAGGAGGCGAGCGUUAUCCGGAAUUACUGGGCGUAAAGGGCGUGCAGGUGGUCUGUUAAGUUACUCGUGAAAGCGCCCGGCUCAACUGGGCGAGGUCGAGUAAGACUGCCAAACUAGAGGGCAGGAGAGGCACGUGGAAUUCCGGGUGUAGUGGUGAAAUGCGUAGAGAUCCGGAGGACACCAGAGGCGAAGGGCGUCAUAGCCUGCAACUGACAUUAGCGCGAAAGCAUGGGAGCGAACGGGAUUAGAAACCCCGGUAGUCCAUGCCGUAAACGAUGUUCACUGGGUUUCGGGAGUCAAAUCCUGAGUGCCGAAGCUAACGCGAGAAGUGAACCGCCUGGGGAGUACGGUCGCAAGACUAAAACUCAAAGGAAUUGACGGGGGCCCGCACAAGCAGCGGAGCGUGUGGUUUAAUUCGAGGCUACGCGAAGAACCUUACCUAGAUUUGACAUGCAUACGAACGAAGGCGAAAGCCGGAGGGCCGCAAGGGGUAUGCACAGGUGCUGCAUGGCUGUCGUCAGCUCGUGCCGUGAGGUGUUCGGUUAAGUCCGAUAACGAGCGCAACCCUCGGGGCCAGUUACAAGUGUCUGGCGCGACUGCCCGUGACAGACGGGAGGAAGGUGGGGAUGACGUCAAGUCAGCAUGGCCUUUAUAUCUAGGGCUACACACACGCUACAAUGGUCGGUACAGUAGGCAGCGAAGUCGCGAGACGGAGCCAAUCCACCAAAGCCGGCCUCAGUUCGGAUUGUAGGCUGCAACUCGCCUGCAUGAAGCUGGAGUUGCUAGUAACCGCAGAUCAGCUACGCUGCGGUGAAUACGUUCCCGGGCCUUGUACACACCGCCCGUCACGUCAUGGGAGCUGGUCACGCCUGAAGCCGGUGGGCUAACCGCAAGGAGGCAGCCGUCGAGGGCAGGGCCGGUGACUUCCCGA
rnacentral:rRNA from 1 species